rnacentral:tRNA from 1 species
UGCGGGUUGGAGCAGAGGCAGCUCGCCUGGCUCAUAACCAGGAGGUCGCGUGGUUCGAAUCCCGCACCCGCUACCA